UAAGUAAGUAUAAAAAUGAUAAUGAGUCC
rnacentral:piRNA from 1 species